UACGGAGGGAGCUAGCGUUGUUCGGAAUUACUGGGCGUAAAGCGCGCGUAGGCGGCUUUGUAAGUUAGAGGUGAAAGCCCGGAGCUCAACUCCGGAACUGCCUUUAAGACUGCAUCGCUUGAAUCCAGGAGAGGUGAGUGGAAUUCCGAGUGUAGAGGUGAAAUUCGUAGAUAUUCGGAAGAACACCAGUGGGCGAAGGCGGCUCACUGGACUGGUAUUGACGCUGAGGUGCGAAAGCGUGGGGGAGCAAACAGG
rnacentral:rRNA from 1 species